UUCCUCUCUCGUUCUCCUUGGAUGUGGAGUGGUACUUUUGUUAGCUUACUGAAAAGAGUUUUUUGUGAUUUAUUUGUUGUGUGAGUGGCUUGUGCAGCACAAUCUCUCAGCAUGGCAGUGAAUACACAAUGUCCCAGGAGGAAUGGGAUUGAAGAUGACAAUGGAAUGUUUUGUGGAGUGAUGUGCACUUUAUGCUCUUUGAACAAUCAUAGUUAUCGCGUUUGGGGAUCGUCGCUGCCAAUGAACAUUCAUGAAGUUUACCUCCAUAGUGCAUGUGUCACUGUGUGCAGUGGCUUCACACAACAGUUCUUUGAAGAACUUGGACCCCAAGGACCAAGCAGCAUGAACAGCACACAUUACUGUGAUAUGCUUCGCCAGCAUGUGAUCCCUGCUCUAUGGAAGAGAGGAUGUGGACUAGACUGGUUGGAUACAUGAUGUUCCACCUCGCAUUGCUUGGAAGGUCGCUCGGUCACUCCGUGUUUGGAGAAAAUUAAAUCAUUGCCUAAUCAUUCCAAACUUCAUGGCUGUCAAGGUCACCAGAUUUGAACCUGUGUGAUUUCUGGCUGCAGGGUUACCUGAAGGACAGCGUUUAUCAAUGGAAUACUUGAGUAUCGGAUCUUCCACCUGGGAUGCACUGUACAAUCAAUCAAGGUAAACCCAGUUGACGAAUGGCCAUGAUAACUGUAUUCAAAACUGUAUUCAAACAUGUGAAGCAUCUUGGUGAUUGGAGGGCAAAAUCAGAGGAAGAAUGGCUAUGACAUUUACAUAGUUAAACAAGGAGAAGAUUGCUUAUGGAAUGUCCGGAGCAAGGAAUAUAAAAACACUGUUAAAAAACACGAUGCACUUGCGACAAUUGCAGCAGCUUUUGGCACGGGCAAGGGAAGUGUAGAGAAAAGAUACGAUCGCUUGUGGUUGCUCAUAGGCGCGAGAAAAGAAAAUUUAUUUCCAGCAGACCAUCUGGUAGUGGUACAGACACUGCAUAUGACUUGAACUGGUUCGGCUGUUGGCUGCUGCAGUUCUUGGACGAUGUAGACGAGCCGAAGGAGACAACAGAUACUGUGGAAAAUGAGGGCAAAACCAAUGGAUGAAUGGCCUUGAUGAUUGUAAUUUGAAACAUGUUGUCCAUCUUACGAGGCAAAAUGAGUUGCGGUAAUGAAUACACACGGCCCUGACAACUAUAUGCGAACAUGUAAAUCAUUGUACUUACCGCAAGACAGAACUGUGGACAAAUUGUAGUUAUCGUUCAACUGAACAAAGAAAAACCUUUGGACAAAUGGACAUAAUGACUAAAUUCACACAUUAUCUGAUUUGUUGGAGCACAUGACAUAAUUGUGAUGAAUGUGUGAUUAAAAAAAGUUACUGAUGUGCCCUAAUCAUCAGUAUGUAAUUGCACAAAUGUUUAUGGAGAUUCCAUCAAGAAAAGAGCCUGAAGUGAAUGUGCAAAAUGACCAUGGAAAAAUAUAUGGUCCGGUCACAUUAACGUGACCACUGCCUAUGUUUAGCAUCAAUGUGCAAGAACCACUCAGAUGACAGGUGGCAGCACUAGCAGAGGAGGGUGUACAAAGCAUGUCAGAGGCACGCAGAAAGCAGUGCAGUCAUUUUCAUAAUGUGAAACCGGGGCAAUGUAUCUGACGUCCAAAGAGGCGUGAUAAUUGACUUUCUGUCCGAGGAUGGAAGCAUUUCUGUAACGGCUAAGUUCGUAAACUGUUUGCAAGUCACUGCUGUUAAUGUAUACCGGCAUUGUAAAUAUGGUGCUCCACGGGCCUUAAAUGGCAGGGGUGAAUGACAGUUUCGGGGAUGUGUGUGGACAAAUAGGUGUGCAAGUAUUGAGCAACUGACUGCCCAGAUGAACUGAGGCAAGCUAACACUGCAUUAUCAAUGAAUUUUCAGUGAAUGUUGCUGCAUAUGAACCUCUGUAGCAGGUGUCUCACUCAUGCUGACUGCUAUUCGUCGGGAUGAAGGCAAAAUUUUGCACUACAGUACCAGAACUGGAUGUGCACUGAUUGGUGCCAGGUGGUUUUUUCAGAUGAAUUGCGUUUUGUGCUCCAUUGGACAGAUGGCUGUUGGUGUGAACAGCACAGCACUAGAGUUGGCAAGGCUCCAUAUCUGUAUCAAGAGCUUCCAGAACCUCAUUGACCGUCUUUCUGCAUGUCUCUCAGCAAUCCUUACUACAGAAGGUGGUUAUUUAGACUUUUGACUUUGGUCACAUUGAUAUAACUGGAAUUGAAUAUUUGACAUUUAUCUAUGAGGGUUGUUUUUUUAAGUAAGGGCCGUUUGGGUGUAUAGUCCCGUAGUUCACAUGGACGCCGCAAUAAGCCACCGCGCCACUUGCCAGCAUCCUUCCCAUUCACACUGAUGCAAGUUGCAGCUCUGUAGCUGACGUGUACGCAUCGCUGUGCUACUUUAUAAUGUUUACGAUUAUUGAAUCGCCUGCCGCGUGAGAGAUACGGUCAGUGAUACGUUUUUUGACUGCGAGAAGCCUAUCAGCUGCAGAAAUUCAUCGUCAAUUAACUUAAGUUUAUGGCUUGAAUGCAAUGAGUGAAGGUAAAGUGCGUCAAUGAGUUAGAGAGUUUAAAAAUGGCCGUCAAAACGUCCAUGACGAAGAACGCUCAGGCCGGCCCUCUGUGAUCACUGAUGAUUUGGUGGCUGCAGUCGAAACAAAGAUUCGUGAGGACAGAAGAUUCACAAUUUCCACUCUUUCUUUGGAAUUUCCACAAGUUUCAAGAUCGGUUUUGUACAAAAUUGUGUCUGAAAACCUAAACUUUAAGAACCUUCUCGGUGGGUACCCAGACUCCUCACAGAGGACCACAAAGGGAAGAGAUUUGCCACUUCAUCGGACUUUUUGAUUUGUUACGAGGAAGAAGGGGAUGACAUGUUGAGUCACAUUGUCACUGGAGAUGAAACGUGAGUAUCCCAUAUCACUCCCGAAAGCAAGCGACAAUCGAUGGAAUGGCGAGACACAACCUCACCUGUCAAGGUCAAAGCCAAACAGACGCUGUCAAAGCGCAAGAUAAUGGCAACUGUGUUCUGGGACUGGCGCAGUGUUUUGCUAGUGGACUUUAUGCCACGAGGAACGACAAUCAACUCAGAUGCCUACUGGGCAACUCUAAAGAAGCUCCGCAGAGCAAUUCAAAACAAAAGGCGCGGCAUGCUGACAAAAGGAGUUUUGCUCCUGCACGAUAACGCUAUGCGUCACACCUCUCAAAAGACUCGGGAUUUGAUUGAUUCUUUUGGCUGGGAAGUUUUGGACCAUGCACCAUACAGCCCCAACCUUGCUCCUAGCGAUUUUCACCUUUUCCGGUACCUGAAACACCAUCUUGGCGGGCGUCGCUUCAACGACGACGAUGAAGUGAAAGUGGCCGUGAACUCUUGGCUGUCGGAGCAGGUGGCCGAAUUCUUUGAAGAGGGAAUUAAAAACUUAGUUGUACGGUAUGACAAGUGCUUAAAUAAACAAGGCAACUAUGUAGAAAAAUAGGUAAAAGUGUGUAGAAUCAGAAAAUAAGUUUUUUUACAAAAGUAUUUGUAUCUUUUUUAAACAUCCUGCAGAACACAGUUACUCAGAAUUACCAUUAAUUUCUAGACUCUAAUAUGGCAGAUUAGUGCAGUAGAUUUAAGCUCUACAAAUAAAGGUUUUGACCUUUUAUUAGAAAAAUUCAUUAAUGGCAACAUGAUCAAAUUUAUCCCUUCAAGAUGGAGCUUCACCAUUAAUGGAGCAACUAUCAUUCUUCCAUGAUCAUACUAUGGUCGUAUUAUUAUUAAUUACAGUAAUUGUAGGUUAUGCCCUAAACGGCCCUUACUUAAAAAACAACCCUCGUAUUUAAAUGCUGGUGGAGGAAAACACAGGGUCGAGAAAAAUAUAUAUUCUUAUAUUUUGUGUACACUGCCACUUCAAUUUACAAACCAUAAUAAAUAUUUCAUGUGUUUGUUUUA